rnacentral:rRNA from 1 species
GGGGAAUUUUCCGCAAUGGGCGCAAGCCUGACGGAGCAACGCCGCGUGAGGGAUGAAGGCCUCUGGGCUGUAAACCUCUUUUCUCAAGGAAGAAGACAUGACGGUACUUGAGGAAUAAGCCACGGCUAAUUCCGUGCCAGCAGCCGCGGUAAUACGGGAGUGGCAAGCGUUAUCCGGAAUUAUUGGGCGUAAAGCGUCCGCAGGCGGCCUUUUAAGUCUGUUGUUAAAGCGUGGAGCUCAACUCCAUUUCGGCAAUGGAAACUGGAAGGCUGGAGUGUGGUAGGGGCAGAGGGAAUUCCCGGUGUAGCGGUGAAAUGCGUAGAUAUCGGGAAGAACACCAGUGGCGAAGGCGCUCUGCUGGGCCAUAACUGACGCUCAUGGACGAAAGCCAGGGGAGCGAAAGGGAUUAGAUACCCCUGUAGUCCUGGCCGUAAACGAUGAACACUAGGUGUCGGGGGAAUCGACCCCCUCGGUGUCGUAGCCAACGCGUUAAGUGUUCCGCCUGGGGAGUACGCACGCAAGUGUGAAACUCAAAGGAAUUGACGGGGGCCCGCACAAGCGGUGGAGUAUGUGGUUUAAUUCGAUGCAACGCGAAGAACCUUACCAGGGUUUGACAUCCUGCGAAUCUUUUGGAAACAGAAGAGUGCCUUCGGGAGCGCAGAGACAGGUGGUGCAUGGCUGUCGUCAGCUCGUGUCGUGAGAUGUUGGGUUAAGUCCCGCAACGAGCGCAACCCACGUCUUUAGUUGCCAGCAUUUAGUUGGGCACUCUAGAGAGACCGCCGGUGAUAAACCGGAGGAAGGUGUGGAUGACGUCAAGUCAUCAUGCCCCUUACAUCCUGGGCUACACACGUACUACAAUGCUACGGACAAAGGGCAGCAAACUCGCGAGAGCUAGCAAAUCCCAUAAACCGUGGCUCAGUUCAGAUCGUAGGCUGCAACUCGCCUACGUGAAGGAGGAAUCGCUAGUAAUCGCAGGUCAGCAUACUGCGGUGAAUACGUUCCCGGGCCUUGUACACACCGCCCGUCACACCAUGGAAGUUGGCCACGCCCGAAGUCGUUACUCCAACCCUUGUGGAGGAGGACGCCGAAGGUGGGGCUGAUGACUGGGGUGAAGUCGUAACAAGGUAACCAAGGGCGAAUUCC